AGAGUGAACGCUGGCGGUAGGCCUAACACAUGCAAGUCGAACGGCAGCACAGUGGUAGCAAUACCAUGGGUGGCGAGUGGCGGACGGGUGAGGAAUACAUGGGAAUCUGCCCAGUCGUGGGGGAUAACGUAUGGAAACGUACGCUAAUACCGCAUGCGCCCUUCGGGGGAAAGCCGGGGACCUUCGGGCCUGGCGCGAUUGGAUGAGCCCAUGUCGGAUUAGCUAGUUGGCGGGUAACGGCCCACAAGGCGACGAUCCGUAGCUGGCUGAGAGGAUGAUCAGCCACACUGGAACUGAGACACGGUCCAGACUCCGUACGGGAGCAGCAGGUACGGAAUAGUUGGACAAUGGGACGCAAGCCUGAUCCAGCCAUGCCGCGUGUGUGAAGAGCCGUUGGUGUAAA
rnacentral:rRNA from 1 species